AGAUCAUCUGAGCCCAGGAGGUCAAGGUUGCGGUGAGCCGAGAUUGCACCACUGCACUCCAGCCUGGGUAACAGAG
rnacentral:snRNA from 1 species